GGGCAAUUAGCUCAGUUGGUAGAGCGUUCGCUUUGCACUCUCCGCCUGCGAAAGGUCGUGAUUUCGAUUAUCACAUUGUCCA
rfam:Ajellomyces capsulatus NAm1 scaffold_1 genomic scaffold, whole genome shotgun sequence.